rnacentral:rRNA from 1 species
UAACGCGUGAGCAACCUGGCCUAUACAGGGGGAUAACAGGGAGAAAUUCCUGCUAAUACCGCAUAAGACCACAGUAUCGCAUGGUACUGGGGUCAAAGGAGAGAUUCGGUAUAGGAUGGGCUCGCGUCCCAUUAGCUAGUUGGGGGUGCAACGGACCACCAAGGCGACGAUGGGUAGCCGACCUGAGAGGGUGAUCGGCCACACUGGGACUGAGACACGGCCCAG